UACGAAGGGUGCAAACGUUGCUCGGAAUCAUUGGGCGUAAAGCGCACGUAGGCGGCCUGAUAAGUCGGAUGUGAAAUCCCACAGCUUAACUGUGGACGUGCAUUCGAAACUGCCAGGCUCGAGUAUGGAAGAGGGUCGCAGAAUUCCCGGUGUAGAGGUGAAAUUCGUAGAUAUCGGGAGGAAUACCAGUGGCGAAGGCGGGUCUCUGGACAGUUCCUGACACUGAGGCACGAAGGCCAGGGGAGCAAACGGGG
rnacentral:rRNA from 1 species